rnacentral:rRNA from 1 species
CCGCUCUAAAGGUAAACCGCGAAUGGCUCAUUAAAUCAGUUAUGAUUCAUUUGAUCUCACUCCCAUUACUUGGAUAACCCUGGUAAUUCUAGAGCUAAUACGUGACAACAACUACUCCGACUGGAAGGGAGGAGUGCUUUUAUUAGAUGAAAACCAAUCGGGCCUCGGUCCGCCAAACACAAACUGUGCUGAUUCUGAAUAACUUUGUGCCGAGAGCACGGUCUCCGCGCCGGCUCCGUAUCUUUCGAGUUUCUGCCUUAUCAUGCUGUGGAUUGUAGGCCAUGCGCCUACUGUGGCUGUUACGGGUGACGGAGAAUCAGGGUUCGAUUCCGGAGAGGGAGCCUGAGAAACGGCUACCACAUCCAAGGAAGGCAGCAGGCACGCAAAUUACCCAAUCCCAGCUCUGGGAGGUAGUGACGAAAAAUAACAAUGCGGGACUCUUCCGAGUCUGCGUAAUUGGAAUGAGCACACUUUAAAUCCUUUAGCAACAACCAAUUGGAGGGCAAGUCUGGUGCCAGCAGCCGCGGUAAUUCCAGCUCCAAUAGCGUAUAUUAAAGUUGUUGCGGUUAAAAAGCUCGUAGUCCGAGUUCAGUUCCGGACUGGCCGGGGAGGUCACCGCCCGGUGCUUCCCCGUCAGGCUCCGAACAGCUUUUAUGACUAAAAGCCAAGCCGGUUUUCGCCGGGGUGCUCUUCACCGAGUGUCCCGCGCGGCCGGCCAGUUGACCUUGAAUAAAUGAGAGUGCUCAAAGCAGGCUACUCUUAAAAAUAAAGCCCGAAUGUUACCUGCAUGGAAUGAUGGAAGAUGAUCUCGGUUCCUUUUUUUAUGGGUU